rnacentral:lncRNA from 1 species
UAAAAUAUAACACAAAUGAAUUAAAAUCUCAAAUAAAUCUCAAACCAAUUAAGAAAUUGAUGAGAAUAUUUUUCACAGACUUAUCAUGAUCCAUAUGUGUUAAGAAAAUAUUUUUGGAAUUUUCAGAUAUUAAAAAGUAUUUAAAAUGAAUUAAAAACUAUUAAAAACAAAGUAAUUCACAAAAAAUAUUAAAUGAAGUCACAAAAAUAAUUAAAAAUCAGAUCAUGAAACUAGAUUUUUCAAGAAUUUUUUUGCCAUUGGUCUCAUAUUUUUGUGACUUCAAAUAAAAUAGUUAUGAAUUUUUGAAAAUAAAUGGAAUUAAAA